rnacentral:rRNA from 1 species
AUGGGGCGCAGCAGGCGCGGAACCUCCGCAAUACACGAAAGUGUGACGGGGUUACCCAAAGUGUUCAUUUCUGAACUGUGGUAGGUGAGUAAUGUCCCCUACUAGAAAGGAGAGGGCAAGACUGGUGUCAGCCGCCGCGGUAAUACCAGCCCCCUGAGUUAUAGGGACGAUUAUUUAGCCUAAAGCGUUCGUAGCCGGCUUAACAAGUCUUUCGUUAAAUCUAACGACUCAAUCGUUAGGCCGCGGAAGAUACUGCUAGGCUUGAGGGCGGGAGAGGUCGACGGUAUUCCCGGGGUAGGGGUGAAAUCCAAUAAUCCCGGGAGGACCACCAGUGGCGAAGGCGGUCGACCAGAACGCGCCUGACGGUGAUGGACGAAAGCUGGGGGAGCAAACCGGAUUAGACACCCGGGUAGUCCCAGCUGUAAACGAUGCGAGCUAGGUGUUGGGGUAGCUACGGGCUGCUCCAGUGCCGCAGAGAAGUCGUUAAGCUCGCCGCUUGGGGAGUACGGCCGCAAGGUUGAAACUUAAAGGAAUUGGCGGGGGAGCAC